rnacentral:rRNA from 1 species
UACAGAGGUCUCAAGCGUUGUUCGGAUUCAUUGGGCGUAAAGGGUGUGUAGGUGGCGCGCUAAGUCGGGUGUGAAAUUUCGGAGCUUAACUCCGAAACUGCAUUUGAUACUGGCGUGCUUGAGGACUGGAGAGGAGACUGGAAUUCAUGGUGUAGCAGUGAAAUGCGUAGAGAUCAUGAGGAAGACCAGUGGCGAAGGCGGGUCUCUGGACAGUUCCUGACACUGAGACACGAAGGCCAGGGGAGCAAACGGGG